CAACCUGCCCUUCAGAGGGGGACAACAGUUGGAAACGACUGCUAAUACCGCAUACGAUCUGACCUCGGCAUCGAGGAUGGAUGAAAGGUGGCCUCUAUUUAUAAGCUAUCACUGAAGGAGGGGAUUGCGUCUGAUUAGCUAGUUGGAGGGGUAACGGCCCACCAAGGCGAUGAUCAGUAGCCGGUCUGAGAGGAUGAACGGCCACAUUGGGACUGAGACACGGCCCAGACUCCUACGGGAGGCAGCAUG
rnacentral:rRNA from 1 species